UACCAGACUCCUACGGGAGGCAGCAGUGAGGAAUAUUGGUCAAUGGCCGAGAGGCUGAACCAGCCAAGUCGCGUGAGGGAAGAAUGUCCUAAGGAUUGUAAACCUCUUUUGUCGGGGAGCAAAAAGGCUCUGCGGAGUCGUAUUGAGAGUACCCGAAGAAAAAGCAUCGGCUAACUCCGUGCCAGCAGCCGCGGUAAUACAUAGGGAGCAAGCGUUAUCCGGAUUUAUUGGGUGUAAAGGGUGCGUAGACGGGAAAUUAAGUUAGUUGUGAAAUCCCUCGGCUUAACUGAGGAACUGCAACUAAAACUGAUUUUCUUGAGUACUGGAGAGGAAAGUGGAAUUCCUAGUGUAGCGGUGAAAUGCGUAGAUAUUAGGAGGAACACCAGUGGCGAAGGCGACUUUCUGGACAGUAACUGACGUUGAGGCACGAAAGUGUGGGGAGCAAACAGGAUUAGAUACCCUAGUA
rnacentral:rRNA from 1 species